rnacentral:lncRNA from 1 species
CUCCUCUGUCUCUCUCUACAGUCACACACCACAUAUGUCCCAGAUAUCAUUUGUGGGAAUAUUAUUGCUCUCAUUUCCACUUUACUUUCUUGUGGCCACAAAACAAGUCACAUGUUUGACAUGGGGCCUUAGGAUGUGUGGAGGAUAAAGGUUUCUUACCAACUCACUGAGUUGAUAAAACUGCUUUUAUUUGAUGCUGCUUAGAAAGAAACUACUAGAAAGCCUAAAAUAUGAAUAAGUUUCUGGAGAGGAGGAGAAGCAGGAGACACUGUGAACCUGAUGUCUAGCUCAAGCUCUGCCCCAGAAGCUGUGUCCCCGUAGGCAAGAGGAAGAAAGAAUGCUCCAAAGUGGAAAGCUAUAUGAUCAACAUCACCUGACAGAAGAUAGCAGACAUUCUUUAAAUUGCUGGCUUAUCUGAAAACUUAUACUGAGUGUUGGAAAAAGAAGAAGAAGAAGAAGAAGAAGAAGAAGAAGAAGAAGAAGAAGAAGAAGAAGAAGAAGAAGAAGAAGAAAUAAUGACUUGCUUCUCCUGAGCUUGGACAUGCUUAAUUGCAUGAAAAAUCACAUCAACAGCCGAGCAAGAUGUCUCAGUGACUGUUUGCCACCAAGCCGUCAGGAACUACAACAGUAGUUCAUUCCUGAGAGCCAUGUGGUAGAAGGAGAGAUGUGACUCUCACAAGUCAUCCCAGGAGACACAGACACACACACACACACACACACACACACACAAAUAUAUGUAAUUAAAAAAGAAAAUUAUAUACUUAAACAAUAUGAAUGACCAUUCUACCUCAGUAGUCCACAACUGUAACAGGGACUGUGAGUGCAUGGAUUUAGGGAAAGGGACAGUAGACGGCUAGACUUUAGACUUUCAUGUUCAAUUUUAUAUCCAGGUGCUGCUUGUCGGUGCCAAAUGUGGAUCUUUAUUUUUCAGUGUAAAGUAAAAUUCAAAACACAGUUUCAAAAACAGCCACUGAUUGAAUACUCUUCUGCUAAUAGCAUUUUCAUACACUGAAAGAUAAAACUCUGGCCCUGGGCAAAUGUUAAGAACAGUCUUGUGCAGUCUGUUCAACAAACUGAGUGUGUUCUGAGUGCUUCUGACAUGACACAAGGAAUUAGUUGCCUCGCAUUCAAACGCGGUUCGCAGGCACACUUUUAAAAAUAUUACCCAACCCCGGUUAAGUUCAAACAACCGCUGGCAAUGCAUGAUUUAUCCAGAGGGUACUACAGAAACUCAGGUGAUCAGCUUGAAGUUCCCAGUCAAGGGAGAAUCGGACUUCAUAGAAACAGCAGGGAAAUCUUGGCUGCCCCCUUGCAGUGUUGACCUUCAGAAGGCUAGCAGGCUCGAUGACAUUGCCAGGCUCAGUGCUCUGAAACCACACUCUCUUCUCCUCUACGACAGCUGAGAGAUCGGUUUCAGUCCCGGAGCAUUAAGUUAACUGUAAUCUCCUUCACCUGCUGAUGUUGCAACGAGGCUUCAAACGCUACUCUGACCUCCAGGAAGUAGAAUUGCCGGAGAAAUGAAGCUUUCCACUUCCUACUUAAAAGAAGAUUGCUUCAAAACCUCCUUAAUCUUCUCUUCCAGAGCACGUGUGGCAUUACUGAAGCAGAGCAAGAAGAGCCCAUCCUCCAGUGAAACCACCGCAGGCUAUCAUACUCAUUUUUAUGUUCUAGAGUGGGGGAUGGGGAGCGGACUGGGGAAUCGGCAAGGCCUAACUGCUCCUAACUUCUAGCAGUGGAAUAUCUGAGAUGAAACAAUUGGAAAGAAGCAGCCUGUCUCCUGGACAGCAGAGAGUGUGGAGAAUACGACUGUCACUGUCAGGAAUGAGGUAGACUGACUGUUUCUAUGAACAUCUACAUGACAUUUGUCUCCCUGUUCAAGGAACAGAGAUCUGCGUUCUGAGGCUUCCAUCAAUAACUCCAACUCGCCAUUCAUUGAUGGUUUUAUUUGUUUGUUUUCUUGUUUCUUUGUUUAAAGGCAGAACACUGCAGGGUGGCUUAGUAGAUAAAGCAUUUCCCAUGCAAGCCUGAGGAAAGAAUCCCACCCAAAAGCCCUGUGGGACUCCUAGCCCAUCUUCAGUGGCAGUUCACGGGAGACAGAAGCUGUCUCUGUGGCAAGAGGCUAGCUGGACCAGGCAAAUUGGCAAUCUCUGGGUCCAAUGAGAGACCUUGCUUCAGGAAAUGAAGUAAAGAGUGGUUGGAGAAGACGCUCGGUGUCAACCAACUGUCUUCAACACUCCUACACAAACAGGUCCCAACGUAUGUGCACACACAGGUGCCAAACAUGUACGCAUGCACAUUACAUAUGUAAAAAACUGACUUUUUUUAAA